UACGUAGGUGGCGAGCGUUGUCCGGAUUUACUGGGUGUAAAGGGCGUGUAGGCGGGUGAAUAAGUUGGGUGUGAAAUAUCACGGCUUAACCGUGAGGGUGCAUUCAAAACUAUUCAUCUUGAGUGCUGGAGAGGAAAGCGGAAUUCCUAGUGUAGCGGUGAAAUGCGUAGAUAUUAGGAGGAACACCAGUGGCGAAGGCGGCUUUCUGGACAGUAACUGACGCUGAGGCGCGAAAGCGUGGGGAGCAAACAGG
rnacentral:rRNA from 1 species